UUUGGUAUAGUCUAGUGCAGGGAUACCUGGCUCUCACCCAGGAGGCUCGGGUUCGAUUCCCGGUACCGAAA
rfam:Cerapachys biroi unplaced genomic scaffold scaffold31, whole genome shotgun sequence.